rnacentral:rRNA from 1 species
CAAGUCGAACGCUCAUUUGGCGGUAGCAAUAUUGUCAAGUGGGAGUGGCGCAAGGGUGCGUAACACGUGGGUAAUUUGCCAUGAAGACCAGGAUAACUCGCUGAAAGGCGAGCUAAUACUGGAUGUGGCCACUGGGAGGCAUCUCUUGGUGGCUGAAGUUGGGGACUGUGAAAGGCCUGACGCUUCAUGAUAAGCCCGCGGCCUAUCAGCUAGUUGGUGAGGUAACGGCUCACCAAGGCUAAGACGGGUAGCUGGUCUGAGAGGACGACCAGCCACACUGGAACUGAGACACGUCCAGACACCUACGGGUGGCAGCAGUCGAGAAUUUUUCUCAA